CACCAGAGCACCUCAAGGGAUGACAAGGUUGAACAGUUACAAAGUCCUCCAUGACCAUUUCAGGCUGGACAUAAAGAAGAACUUCUUUACUGUCCCCCAAGGUCUGAAAUUGACUGCCACCGGAGGUGGUUCAAGCACCCACUUUGAAUGCCUUCAAGAGACAUUUGUAUGUUUAUCUUGCUGGGAUCCUAUGACCCCUGCUGACUUCCUGUCCCUCGGGCAGGGGUCUGGACUUGAAGAUUUUCUGAGGUCCCUUCCAGCCCUAAUGUCUGUGAAAUCCAUGAAAUUUAUGAAACUGAUAAUGAGGAAAGCUUGUCAGUCUGUCAGCCAGCUUCCUAUGGCCAUCUCACGUUGGACUGGUAUCCAGGCAGGAACUUCUGAGGCUGUGAAAGAAACACCAUCCAUAAGGGCAGAUGUGCAUAUCCUAUACACAUUUCAGAAUAGAGUCACAGAGUUUGGAUGUAUUCUACAUUUUUUUCAAAAGUUGGUGUUCUGUAAAUGUGACAGUUGCAUGGAGUUAGCAGCACCCAGUCUAAAUUCAGAUGCCUAAUCAUUCUCAGGAAGCUAGCCUCUCCUGUGCUUUCU
rnacentral:lncRNA from 1 species